UGCCCCUCACUUGCCAAUACGUCUAGAUCAGCCAGGGCGUCGGCAUGUGUAGCGUAUUAUGUUGGGCUCUCUCGAGAUAAGGAUACGAUGUCCCUUUAUCGGUUGGUUUUCCGAGAAUCCUUGACCCUUGAUUGUUACUUUCGCAUCGUUCGGUGCAUUCUGGGGGAUGUUUUGGCUUUUGGUGGCUUACUUGGCCUUUUGGCUGGGUUUGUUGCUAUUUGUCGGGCGGCUUUCGGGAAUGUCGACCGUGGAGGUGCAUGAGUGGUGUUUGGUUUGUUACGUGUGGAUGGCUGUUUGCUUGCGCAACAACGUUCACGCUGCAUACCUCUUCAGUUUUGCGGCAAGGCUUGGUUUGGCUUGUGCAUAUUGUGGGUUUCCUGUGUUGCAUACCUAGUUAAAGGAAAAGUGUGGGUUUUACGAUUUUCAUUUUCGUCUUGCGUCGUUCUUUCGGCAUGGGAUGAGCAACGAAGCGAUCUUUAUGAUCCAUCACAUCGUGCUGUUGCGUUUGCAACAAUGAUGUGGCCUAUGAAGCAUCGUUUGGUCUCUUGUAUACGGAAGCUCAUUUGGGCUUGGGUCUUUAUAAGAUCUUCGUUAUGCCCUUGUUAAGCGUUCUCGCUUCUCCUAAACGAUUG
rnacentral:misc_RNA from 1 species